rnacentral:rRNA from 1 species
UACGUGAGGGUGCAAGCGUUAAUCGGAAUUACUGGGCGUAAAGCGUGCGCAGGCGGUGAUGUAAGACAGAUGUGAAAUCCCCGGGCUCAACCUGGGAACUGCAUUUGUGACUGCAUCGCUGGAGUGCGGCAGAGGGGGAUGGAAUUCCGCGUGUAGCAGUGAAAUGCGUAGAUAUGCGGAGGAACACCGAUGGCGAAGGCAAUCCCCUGGGCCUGCACUGACGCUCAUGCACGAAAGCGUGGGGAGCAAACAGG